GUGGGGAAUAUUGGGCAAUGGGGGCAACCCUGACCCAGCGACGCCGCGUGGGUGAAGAAAUCCCUCGGGAUGUAAAGCCCUGUUGUAUGGGAAGAGCAGAAGACGGUACCAUACGAGGAAGCCCCGGCAAACUACGUGCCAGCAGCCGCGGUAAUACGUAGGGGGCAAGCGUUGUCCGGAAUUACUGGGCGUAAAGCGCACGCAGGCUGAAUUAUAAGUCGGUAGUCAAAUACGGAGGCUCAACUUCCGGAUAUCUAUCGAUACUGUAAAUCUAGAGUAUGUGAGAGGGAAGCGGAAUUCCCGGUGUAACGGUGAAAUGCGUAGAUAUCGGGAGGAACACCAGUGGCGAAGGCGGCUUCCUGGCACAAUACUGACGCUCAUGUGCGAAAGCUAGGGCAGCGAACGGGAUUAGAAACCCGGGUAGUCC
rnacentral:rRNA from 1 species